rnacentral:rRNA from 1 species
AAAUUGAAGAGUUUGAUCAUGGCUCAGAUUGAACGCUGGCGGCAGGCCUAACACAUGCAAGUCGAGCGGUAGCACAGAGAGCUUGCUCUCGGGUGACGAGCGGCGGACGGGUGAGUAAUGUCUGGGAAACUGCCUGAUGGAGGGGGAUAACUACUGGAAACGGUAGCUAAUACCGCAUAACGUCGCAAGACCAAAGUGGGGGACCUUCGGGCCUCAUGCCAUCAGAUGUGCCCAGAUGGGAUUAGCUAGUAGGUGAGGUAACGGCUCACCUAGGCGACGAUCCCUAGCUGGUCUGAGAGGAUGACCAGCCACACUGGAACUGAGACACGGUCCAGACUCCUACGGGAGGCAGCAGUGGGGAAUAUUGCACAAUGGGCGCAAGCCUGAUGCAGCCAUGCCGCGUGUGUGAAGAAGGCCUUCGGGUUGUAAAGCACUUUCAGCGGGGAGGAAGGCG